rnacentral:rRNA from 1 species
CAGUCGCCGGCGGUAAUACGAGGGGGGCAAGCGUUGUUCGGAAUUAUUGGGCGUAAAGGGUGCGUAGGCGGCUUGACAAGUCUUGUGUGAAAUCUAUGGGCUCAACCCAUAGUCUGCACGGGAAACCGUCGGGCUUGAGAAUGGGAGAGGUGAGUGGAAUUUCCGGUGUAGCGGUGAAAUGCGUAGAUAUCGGAAGGAACACCUGUGGCGAAAGCGGCUCACUGGACCAUUUCUGACGCUGAUGCACGAAAGCUAGGGGAGCAAACAGGAUUAGAUACCCGCGUAGUCCCUGUCUCUUAUA